rnacentral:rRNA from 1 species
GACGAACGCUGGCGGCGUGCUUAACACAUGCAAGUCGAACGGAAAGGCCCUGCUUUUGUGGGGUGCUCGAGUGGCGAACGGGUGAGUAACACGUGAGUAACCUGCCCUUGACUUUGGGAUAACUUCAGGAAACUGGGGCUAAUACCGGAUAGGAGCUCCUGCUGCAUGGUGGGGGUUGGAACGUUUCGGCGGUUGGGGCUGGACUCGCGGCGUAUCAGCUUGUUGGUGGGGUAGUGGCUUACCAAGGCUUUGACGGGUAGCCGGCCUGAGAGGGUGACCGGCCACAUUGGGACUGAGAUACGGCCCUGACUCCUACGGGAGGCAGCAGUGGGGAAUAUUGCACAAUGGGCGGAAGCCUGAUGCAGCAACGCCGCGUGCGGGAUGACGGCCUUCGGGUUGUAAACCGCUUUCGCCUGUGACGAAGCGUGAGUGACGGUAAUGGGUAAAGAAGCACCGGCUAACUACGUG